AGAAGUGCCCACAUCCGGCCAAAUGGGGGCUCACCAGCUGCCCGUGGACAGAGUGGGAGGAGGCCCCCAGUCUCCAGGAGGCUCCAUGCCUCAGGCUCAGACCGGCAGCUCGGGAACCCAGCUAGCAGGAUGAACUCCAGCAGAGGAACUCAGCGCCAUUGCUGCGGCUGUGGCCCAGAAGAGAAAGAGAAAGAGAAAGAGAAUCCGCCUCGGUGUGACAAGCUGUGCCUCAGAACCCGAGCAGCAGGAGAGUGGGCAGCAGGGGGUGUCUGGCAGCAGAGAGGGGCUCAGGCCUGCUGGGUGGAGCGGCGCUGGGGGACACAGAGCCUGGUGGUAGAGAGACCUCCGGAUGGAGACAGCCCACAGCCCCGGAGCCCCAAGGCAGGCACCAGUGAGUCCCUCGUGACGGCCUCGCUCCCCGCAUCACAUGGAACCUCGUGACCCACGUGACAACGCCAGUGCCCCCGUGGCCCCUUCCUGCUGCUGGACGUGAUGCAGUCAAUGGAAGCCCAGCGUGGGCUCUCCCGGCACCAGCACCGCCAGGCCCUGUGCAGGACACCAGGGUCAUC
rnacentral:antisense_RNA from 1 species